rnacentral:rRNA from 1 species
CAAUAGCGUAUAUUUAAGUUGUUGCAGUUAAAAAGCUCGUAGUUGGAUUUCGGUUAAGAGCGACCGGUCCGCCGUUUGGUGUGCACUGGUUGGUUUUAACUUCCUGUAGAGGACGUGCUCUGGGUUUAACGACCUGGACUCGGAGUCUACGUGGUUACUUUGAAAAAAUUAGAGUGUUCAAAGCGGGCUUACGCUUGAAUAUUUCAGCAUGGAAUAACACUAUAGGACUCCUGUCCUAUUUCGUUGGUCUCGGGACGGGAGUAAUGAUUAAGAGGAACAGUUGGGGGCAUUCGUAUUUCAUUGUCAGAGGUGAAAUUCUUGGAUUUAUGAAAGACGAACUUCUGCGAAAGUAUUUGCCAAGGAUGUUUUCAUUAA